rnacentral:rRNA from 1 species
GCGCAACCCUUGUCCUUAGUUACCAGCACGUUAUGGUGGGCACUCUAAGGAGACUGCCGGUGACAAACCGGAGGAAGGUGGGGAUGACGUCAAGUCAUCAUGGCCCUUACGGCCUGGGCUACACACGUGCUACAAUGGUCGGUACAAAGGGUUGCCAAGCCGCCGAGGUGGAGCUAAUACCCAUAAAACCGAUCGUAGUCCGGAUCGCAGUCUGCAACUCGACUGCGUGAAGUCGGAAUCGCUAGUAAUCGUGAAUCAGAAUGUCACGGUGAAUACGUUCCCGGGCCUU